rnacentral:rRNA from 1 species
UACGGGAGGCAGCAGUGGGGAAUAUUGCACAAUGGGCGCAAGCCUGAUGCAGCCAUGCCGCGUGUAUGAAAAAGGCCUUCGGGUUGUAAAGUACUUUCAGUCGUGAGGAAGGUGUUAAGGUUAAUAACCUUAGCAAUUGACGUUAGCGACAGAAGAAGCACCGGCUAACUCCGUGCCAGCAGCCGCGGUAAUACGGAGGGUGCGAGCGUUAAUCGGAAUUACUGGGCGUAAAGGGCACGCAGGCGGUUAAUUAAGUUGGAUGUGAAAUCCCCGGGCUUAACCUGGGAAUGGCAUUCAAGACUGGUUAGCUAGAGUCUUGUAGAGGGGGUAGAAUUCCAUGUGUAGCGGUGAAAUGCGUAGAGAUGUGGAGGAAUACCGGUGGCGAAGGGCGGGCCCCUGGGACAAAGACUGACGCUCAUGUGCGAAAGCGUGGGGAGCAAACAGGGAUUAGAUACC